AGAGUUUGAUCAUGGCUCAGGACGAACGCUGGCGGCGUGCUUAACACAUGCAAGUGGUGCGACGAACCAGGGCUUGCCCUGGGGCAAAGCCGCGAACGGGUGAGUAACACGUGGGUAACCUGCCCCGAUGACCGGGACAACCCGAGGAAACUCGGGCUAAUACCGGAUGUGGCGCGCGGAUCCAAGUCCGCGCACUAAAGGAAGCUUCGGCCUCCGCAUUGGGAGGGGCCCGCGGCCCAUUAGCUUGUUGGUGGGGUAACGGCCUACCAAGGCAACGAUGGGUAGCUGGUCUGAGAGGACGAUCAGCCACACUGGGACUGAGACACGGCCCAGACUCCUACGGGAGGCAGCAGUGGGGAAUCUUGCGCAAUGCGCGAAAGCGUGACGCAGCAACGCCGCGUGAGGGAAGACGGCCUUCGGGUUGUAAACCUCUUUCAGGAGGGACGAAGGCUCACCGGUGAAUAGCCGUGUGGGUUGACGGUACCUCCAGAAGAAGCUCCGGCUAACUUCGUGCCAGCCGCCGCGGUAAUAC
rnacentral:rRNA from 1 species